rnacentral:rRNA from 1 species
AGGGAAUCUUCGGCAAUGGACGGAAGUCUGACCGAGCAACGCCGCGUGAGUGAAGAAGGUUUUCGGAUCGUAAAGCUCUGUUGUAAGAGAAGAACGAGUGUGAGAGUGGAAAGUUCACACUGUGACGGUAUCUUACCAGAAAGGGACGGCUAACUACGUGCCAGCAGCCGCGGUAAUACGUAGGUCCCGAGCGUUGUCCGGAUUUAUUGGGCGUAAAGCGAGCGCAGGCGGUUAGAUAAGUCUGAAGUUAAAGGCUGUGGCUUAACCAUAGUACGCUUUGGAAACUGUUUAACUUGAGUGCAAGAGGGGAGAGUGGAAUUCCAUGUGUAGCGGUGAAAUGCGUAGAUAUAUGGAGGAACACCGGUGGCGAAAGCGGCUCUCUGGCUUGUAACUGACGCUGAGGCUCGAAAGCGUGGGGAGCAAACAGGAUUAGAUACCCUGGUAGUCCACGCCGUAAACGAUGAGUGCUAGGUGUUAGACCCUUUCCGGGGUUUAGUGCCGUAGCCAACGCAUUAAGCACUCCGCCUGGGGAGUACGACCGCAAGGUUG